rnacentral:rRNA from 1 species
CACGUAGGGCGCAAGCGUUGUCCGGAAUUAUUGGGCGUAAAGAGCUCGUAGGCGGUCUGUCACGUCGACUGUGAAAUCCCGAGGCUCAACCUCGGGCCUGCAGUCGAUACGGGCAGACUAGAGUUCGGUAGGGGAGACUGGAAUUCCUGGUGUAGCGGUGAAAUGCGCAGAUAUCAGGAGGAACACCGGUGGCGAAGGCGGGUCUCUGGGCCGAAACUGACGCUGAGGAGCGAAAGCGUGGGGAGCGAACAGG